GAUGAACGCUGGCGGCGUGCCUAAUACAUGCAAGUCGAGCGAACAGACGAGGAGCUUGCUCCUCUGACGUUAGCGGCGGACGGGUGAGUAACACGUGGAUAACCUACCUAUAAGACUGGGAUAACUUCGGGAAACCGGAGCUAAUACCGGAUAAUAUAUUGAACCGCAUGGUUCAGUAGUGAAAGACGGUUUUGCUGUCACUUAUAGAUGGAUCCGCGCCGCAUUAGCUAGUUGGUAAGGUAACGGCUUACCAAGGCAACGAUGCGUAGCCGACCUGAGAGGGUGAUCGGCCACACUGGAACUGAGACACGGUCCAGACUCCUACGGGAGGCAGCAGUAGGGAAUCUUCCGCAAUGGGCGAAAGCUUGACGGAGCAACGCCGCGUGAGUGAUGAAGGUCUUCGGAUCGUAAAACUCUGUUAUUAGGGAAGAACAAAUGUGUAAGUAACUAUGCACGUCUUGACGGUACCUAAUCAGAAAGCCACGACUAACUACGUG
rnacentral:rRNA from 1 species